UAGGGAAUCUUCCGCAAUGGACGCAAGUCUGACGGAGCAACGCCGCGUGAGUGAUGAAGGUUUUCGGAUCGUAAAGCUCUGUUGCCCUAGACGAACAGCAAGGAGAGUAACUGCUCUUUGUGUGACGGUAUAGGAGAAGAAAGCCCCGGCUAACUACGUGCCAGCAGCCGCGGUAAUACGUAGGGGGCAAGCGUUGUCCGGAAUUAUUGGGCGUAAAGCGCGCACAGGCGGUCAUUUAAGUCUGGUGUUUAAUCCUGGGGCUCAACCCCAGUUCGCAUCGGAAACUGGAUGACUUGAGUGUAGGAGAGGAAAGUGGAAUUCCACGUGUAGCGGUGAAAUGCGUAGAGAUGUGGAGGAACACCAGUGGCGAAGGCGACUUUCUGGCCUAUAACUGACGCUGAGGCACGAAAGCGUGGGGAGCAAACAG
rnacentral:rRNA from 1 species